rnacentral:lncRNA from 1 species
AUAAAAUUGAAUCAAUUAACCUCGUUGGAAACCCUCAUCCGCUGCAUCUACUCCUUCCCCUCACCUCAGCCCUUCCACUGCCUUGUUUUCUUCGACGCANAGAAGUUCCAUUUGAGAUUGGAGCUUGCCGUCCCCAUCUAAAAUCUGAAUUCUCCCCUCCGUCGCCGAGAUCUGGUCGCCGCACCCUCCAUCUCCGUCAUCACCGCACGUAAAUCACCCCAAAAACAGACAAUUUUCCCUAAAUCCUUGCAAAUCCCUAAGUUAUUCGAGGAGAUCUGCCCGCGGCUGGAAGCGACAAGAGACAGAAAUUCAGGCAGGCAGAGGACGCGGCGGAGGAAGGAGGCGGAGGUAGAACAUGCGUCGGAGGACACAGCGGAGGAACAGACAAAAGUCAAGGAACAGACUCAUCACCUGUUUCCAUCUUCACAGGAAACAAAAAAGGAAAAAGAAAGAGGUCAAGCUCAUUAUCAAUUAUCACUCCCACUUAUCACUAUUACCAACGUGCAACAUCAGAAUAAGGUCUAAAACUAAACCAAUAGCAGCUUGCUAGUAGAAAUUUCAGCUAAUAGGUUGCAUCCAUUAUCCUUAGCUCAGAGACAAUGCAUGACAUUUAUAUCAUUUUAUUUUUACAGAAUACAGAACCGUAAUUGGCCCCAUUUUUAGAAUAUUAACCUCUGUCAUAUUCACCUUGUGACAAACUUGGCAUACAAAAAACAACGAAUACAAUCAAAGAAUAGCAGAAUGCAUACCUUCAGACAUGCAUAAAUGUCACUAUGGUGCUUCUUAAACUUCGUGACACGCUUCUUCACAACCUUCUUGUCCAGCAAAGGAACAGCCAUGGCUUCUUGUUGCUAUGCAGCGGCACAGGCCUCUCCUACUACUUGUGUCCCAAGUUCUACAAGAAUAUAUGAAAUCACAUAGGAAUGAUAACAUUUGCUUGCAACUUAACAGAAUCAAACUGCUUAAAUCUAGCAAGAUAUGGCAACAAAAGCAUAGUAAGUCAUUUCUUUAUUAGAUCAAGGUUUGUCCCAAUUAAAUAGUUGGAGAAUACAAACACUUGAAUAAAUGAGUUUAAACAAUAGCNAAAAGAAAGAGGUCAAGCUCAUUAUCAAUUAUCACUCCCACUUAUCACUAUUACCAACGUGCAACAUCAGAAUAAGGUCUAAAACUAAACCAAUAGCAGCUUGCUAGUAGAAAUUUCAGCUAAUAGGUUGCAUCCAUUAUCCUUAGCUCAGAGACAAUGCAAUGACAUUUAUAUCAUUUUAUUUUUACAGAAUACAGAACCGUAAUUGGCCCCAUUUUUAGAAUAUUAACCUCUGUCAUAUUCACCUUGUGACAAACUUGGCAUAACAAAAAACAACGAAUACAAUCAAAGAAUAGCAGAAUGCAUACCUUCAGACAUGCAUAAAUGUCACUAUGGUGCUUCUUAAACUUCGUGACACGCUUCUUCACAACCUUCUUGUCCAGCAAAGGAACAGCCAUGGCUUCUUGUUGCUAUGCAGCGGCACAGGCCUCUCCUACUACUUGUGUCCCAAGUUCUACAAGAAUAUAUGAAAUCACAUAGGAAUGAUAACAUUUGCUUGCAACUUAACAGAAUCAAACUGCUUAAAUCUAGCAAGAUAUGGCAACAAAAGCAUAGUAAGUCAUUUCUUUAUUAGAUCAAGGUUUGUCCCAAUUAAAUAGUUGGAGAAUACAAACACUUGAAUAAAUAGAGUUUAAACAAUAGCAAAGACAGACUAAAUACACAUCACAUAAUUAGUAGCAUUAGUCCAUAAAAAUAACCUCGCAACUAUUAAGGUCAGCCAUGUAGUUCUCACAAUGCUAUUGCCUAAUGCUGGCAAUAUUUUGAAGCAUAAACGAGGCAAAAUCACACUAAUAACAAGGCAGCCCAAGUAUAGAAUUCAAUCAAUACAUAUUCUGAAUUCUGAAGCUACAACAGAUGAACACAACACCCAACCCGGUUAUCCCCUUCCAUAUUUCAACAAAAAUAGUACUAAUAUAAUUCAAACGUUGAUUCAGCCCAUUUGCUCAAACCAUCAGAAAAUUAAUGAAAUUUCAGAAAACAAAUAGAAAAUCCAGACAAAAAAGAAGAAUUUUGAAAAGAAUAUUUAAGAUUUAAGACACAAGCAAAACCCUAGAUUAAUCCCCCAAUCGAUGAAGUAAGCAGAUACCUUGAGCUGAAGCUUUUGGCCUAGAAAUUGAAGAGAGCAGAGCAGAGCACCUUCAUAGAAGCGUUCAAUGGGCAGCUCUAUUGCCCGCGCCAGAUCUGCCGUUCAAUGGGCAGCUCACGGCCACGCCAGAUCUGCCCAGCCGCUGCAACAACUCCGGCCAGGCGAAUUGGAAUUCAGGGUGGGCGAGUCAGCAGUGGCGGAGCAACGCUGCCGCGUGCGCGGCUCCCUCCGUCUCAGAACAACAGUGUAGCGGUGGUGGUGGGCGGCAACUGUGGAGCGGCGGCGAGGACGAGAAGGAGAGGAAGAGGGAGAGAGAGAGAGAGUGACGUGAAG